CAGAAACUGGCAAUGCCACCAUGAUGAAAAAUGUUCCCAGCAACUAAUGCUCCUUUAGAGGAAAUUGUUCACAAACAAGGAGAGCAAAUGCAGAAAGCAGUUGAAGGAGGGGAAAAAGAGUGAGGGUUUAACACGAACUAAUUGAAAGAAAAAGCUUUUUUUGGGAUUUUUUGUGUCAGGAGACACGUGCUAGACUAGAAUAGAAGCUUAAGGAAUGUCAGGAAGGUUUGCGAGCGCAGUUAGAGUAAGCAGCAGAUCUGAACUUCUUGAUUCCACCGUGUGGUCGCACGUCUUCAAUGCUGUAUCCGAGGGGAGCUUCGUAGAAAAGGGAUUUACUACUACUACUACUACUAGACUUCUUCUUACCACCUUUUGACUCCAUUAAAUCAUUCGCAAUAAAUACGAAAUGUAAAAAUGGGUGAACCAGUUAACACCGAGAAACCCUUUGCCUUAGUACCCUUUCUCCAAUUAAAUCCGAUUAAAUGCGUUAGCGGCGGAGAACGAAACCCGAGAAACCCCUAAAAAACUUGCAAGAAACAAAAAGCGAAAGCUAAUAAAAUUCGAGAGAGAGAGAAUGGAUGAGAAUUCAAGAGGCAGAAG
rnacentral:misc_RNA from 1 species